GCCCAGCAUUUUACAAACCCGGCUCAUUCUCCAGGAGUCCCCUGAGCGCCCCCUCCCUCAGCCCCUACAGGGCGCCGGGCACCGCCGGGGUGAGGACCCUGCACUGAUGCGGGAGGGAUGCGCCUGCUCCCAGCAGCAAGGCUGGAAGCCCGGGGACCCAGGCCCCAGCUGGACAGAAGGCCAGGACCCGACGGCCAAGGCCCCAGGCACCGCCAGCCCCUGACCAAGAGACCAACGUCGGCUGUGAGUAGGAGUGUGGGGCACCCGGCCCCCAAGCUGCAAGGACCCAGUGGCCGCUGUCGUACCAUUUCAUGUAGCGUCUGAACUAAAUGCACCUUUG
rnacentral:lncRNA from 1 species